rnacentral:rRNA from 1 species
GACGAACGCUGGCGGCGUGCUUAAUACAUGCAAGUAGAACGGAAAGGCCCUGUUUUUGUGGGGUGGUUGAGUGGCGAACGGGUGAGUAACACGUGGGUAACCUGCCCUUGACUUUGGGAUAACUUCUGGAAACUGUGGCUAAUACCGCAUAGGAGCACAUGUUGCAUGGCGGGGGCUGGAAAGUUUCGUUGGUUGGGGUUGGACUUGCGGCUUAUCAGCUUGUUGGUGGGGUAGUGGCUUACCAAGGCGUUGACGGGUAGCCGGCCUGAGAGGGUGACCGGCCACAGUGGGACUGGGAUACGGCCCAGAGUGCUACGGGAGGCAUCAGCGGGGAAUAGUGCACGAUGGGCGGAAGCCGUAUGCAGCAACUCCGCGUGCUGGAGGACUGCCGUCGGGGUGGAAACCGCGUGCGCCUGGGACGAAGCGUGUGUGACGGUAAUGGAUAAAGAAGCAACGGCUAACUACGUG